ACAUACGACCAUAGACUCAAGAGAACUGGGCAUCCCGUCCGCUCUGCCAUACAUAACCUUGAGAUCGGUGGAUUAGUAGUGGGUGACCACCAGCGAAUACCCACUAAUGUAUGUU
rnacentral:rRNA from 1 species